rnacentral:tRNA from 1 species
CCGGUUCCCGGCCGCGAGGGUGCGGACCAGCCGGCUCCCGGCCGCCCCGUCACGCCGCCCCGGGACGCCUACGCCGGUUCGAACUCCCGCUGAUCGGUC